rnacentral:rRNA from 1 species
AGAGAGAGACAUGCGCGCAUAUCAAUAAGCGGAGGAAAAGAAACUAACAUAGGAUUCCCUCAGUAACGGCGAGUGAAGCGGGAAGAGCUCAAAUUUGAAAUCUUCAAGGUUUCUACCUUGACGAAUUGUAGUUUAAAGAAGUGUUUUCUGUUGAAGUUUUGGUAAAAGUUCUUUGGAAUAGGACAUCAUAGAGGGUGAGAAUCCCGUAUUUGACCAUUAUUUUCCAGCUGUGUGAUACACUUUCAGAGAGUCGGAUUGUUUGGGAAUGCAGUCCAAAAUGGGUGGUAAAUUUCAUCUAAAGCUAAAUAUUGGCGAGAGACCGAUAGCGAACAAGUACCGUGAGGGAAAGAUGAAAAGAACUUUGAAAAGAGAGUUAAACAGUACGUGAAAUUGUCAAAAGGGAAGCGUUUGACACCAGUGUUGUUUUCUCGAAAAUCAAUUAAAAAAGGCAGGAUUUUGUGUUGUAUUGACUUUAUCAGCUUUCUGCACUCUUUUCUUGUCUUUUUUUAAUGCACUUUUCGUUUAACAAGUCAACAUCAGUUUCUUUUGUUGUAAAAAGGGUCAUUGGAAGGUGGCUUUCUUUUCGGAGAAAGUGUUUAUAGCCUUUGUCCUCUGCAAUCGGAGAGAUUGAGGUCUGCAGCGUAGAUCCUUCGGGGUUAGAUACAUUUGUGCUAAGUUAUAGCCUUUUAUAGACAACUUGUUGACUAUGAUUAGUCAUGUAGCUUACUCGCUUAUGCUAUUUUACCUACGCUUAGGAUGUUGAUGUGAUACUGCGAGC